ACUCCUACGGGAGGCAGCAGUAAGGAAUAUUGGUCAAUGGACGCAAGUCUGAACCAGCCAUGCCGCGUGAAGGAUGAAGGUCCUCUGGAUUGUAAACUUCUUUUAUAUGGGACGAAACCCGGGUAUUCCUACCCGAUUGACAGUACCAUAGGAAUAAGCACCGGCUAACUCCGUGCCAGCAGCCGCGGUAAU
rnacentral:rRNA from 1 species